AGAGUUUGAUCCUGGCUCAGGAUGAACGCUGGCGGCGUGCCUAAUACAUGCAAGUCGAACGCUUCACUUCGGUGAAGAGUGGCGAACGGGUGAGUAAUACAUAAGUAACCUGGCAUCUACAGGGGGAUAACUGAUGGAAACGUCAGCUAAGACCGCAUAGGUGUAGAGAUCGCAUGAACUCUAUAUGAAAAGUGCUACGGGACUGGUAGAUGAUGGACUUAUGGCGCAUUAGCUUGUUGGUAGGGUAACGGCCUACCAAGGCGACGAUGCGUAGCCGACCUGAGAGGGUGACCGGCCACACUGGGACUGAGACACGGCCCAGACUCCUACGGGAGGCAGCAGUAGGGAAUUUUCGGCAAUGGGGGAAACCCUGACCGAGCAACGCCGCGUGAAGGAAGAAGUAAUUCGUUAUGUAAACUUCUGUCAUAGAGGAAGAACGGUGGAUAUAGGGAAUGAUAUCCAAGUGACGGUACUCUAUAAGAAAGCCACGGCUAACUACGUGCCAGCAGCCGCGGUAAUACGUAGGUGGCGAGCGUUAUCCGGAAUUAUUGGGCGUAAAGAGGGAGCAGGCGGCACUAAGGGUCUGUGGUGAAAGAUCGAAGCUUAACUUCGGUAAGCCAUGGAAACCGUAGAGCUAGAGUGUGUGAGAGGAUCGUGGAAUUCCAUGUGUAGCGGUGAAAUGCGUAGAUAUAUGGAGGAACACCAGUGGCGAAGGCGACGAUCUGGCGCAUAACUGACGCUCAGUCCCGAAAGCGUGGGGAGCAAAUAGGAUUAGAUACCCUAGUAGUCCACGCCGUAAACGAUGAGUACUAAGUGUUGGGUGUCAAAGCUCAGUGCCGCAGCAAACGCAAUAAGUAUUCCGCCUGGGGAGUACGGCCGCAAGGUUGAAACUCAAAGGAAUUGACGGGGGCCCGCACAAGCAGCGGAGCAUGUGGUUUAAUUCGACGCAACGCGAAAAACCUUACCAAGACUUGACAUCCUACUAAACUCAUGGAAACAUGAGGUGACUUCGGUCGAGUAGAGACAGGUGGUGCAUGGUUGUCGUCAGCUCGUGUCGUGAGAUGUUGGGUUAAGU
rnacentral:rRNA from 1 species